UCCCGCAUCCGCGCCCGCCUCAUGUUUGCGGCUGACUGCAAAUGAUCAUAACUGAUGGACAACUACGCCCGGGAAAAGACAUCAGUAAUCCGGCGCCGAGAUAAGAAAAAGAAAAAAAGCCCAAGAUGAAGCCCAGAUGGGUAGAGCACACUCUGAA